GGCUUGCUGGUCUAGUGGUAUUAUUCUCGCUUUGGGUGCGAGAGGUCACGGGUUCGAUUCCCGUGCAAGCCC
rnacentral:tRNA from 1 species